AACUUUUGGCAACGGAUCUCUUGGCUCUCGCAACGAUGAAGAACGCAGCGAAAUGCGAUAAGUAGUGUGAAUUGCAGAAUUCAGUGAAUCAUCGAAUCUUUGAACGCACAUUGCGCUUCCUGGUAUUCCGGGGAGCAUGCUCGUUUCAGAAUCAUUAAAACCCCCCAGAAUCCUGAAUGCGCUGCCGUAAAAUCGUUUACGAUUUUACGCUGC
rnacentral:rRNA from 1 species